rnacentral:rRNA from 1 species
UACGUAGGGUGCAAGCGUUAAUCGGAAUUACUGGGCGUAAAGCGUGCGCAGGCGGUGAUGUAAGACAGAUGUGAAAUCCCCGGGCUCAACCUGGGAACUGCAUUUGUGACUGCAUCGCUGGAGUGCGGCAGAGGGGGAUGGAAUUCCGCGUGUAGCAGUGAAAUGCGUAGAUAUGCGGAGGAACACCGAUGGCGAAGGCGGCUCACUGGACUGGUACUGACGCUGAGGCGCGAAAGCGUGGGGAGCAAACAGG